UGGAAUGAAUGGAUAUUAAACCUUUCUAUGAGUAUCAAUUGGAGGGCAAGUCUGGUC
rnacentral:rRNA from 1 species